UGUGUCAGCAGCCGCGGUAAUACGGAGGGUGCAAGCGUUGUUCGGAUUUAUUGGGCGUAAAGCGCGUGUAGGCGGUUUCUUAAGUCUGAUGUGAAAGCCCCGGGCUCAACCCGGGAAGUGCAUUGGAAACUGGGAGACUUGAAUACGGGAGAGGGUAGUGGAAUUCCUAGUGUAGGAGUGAAAUCCGUAGAUAUUAGGAGGAACACCGGUGGCGAAGGCGGCUACCUGGACCGAUAUUGACGCUGAGACGCGAAAGCGUGGGGAGCAAACAGGAUUAGAUACCCUGGUAGUCCACGCCGUAAACGAUGAGAACUAGGUGUUGCGGGUAUUGACCCCUGCAGUGCCGCAGUUAACACAAUAAGUACUCCGCCUGGGAAGUACGAUCGCAAGAUUAAAACUCAAAGGAAUUGACGGGGGCCCGCACAAGCAGCGGAGCAUGUGGUUUAAUUCGAAGCAACGCGAAGAACCUUACCUGGACUUGACAUCCCCUGAAUUACUCGUAAUGGAGGAAGCCCUUCGGGGCAGGGAGACAGGUGGUGCAUGGUUGUCGUCAGCUCGUGUCGUGAGAUGUUAGGUUAAGUCCUGCAACGAGCGCAACCCUUAUCAUUAGUUGCUACCAUUAAGUUGAGCACUCUAGUGAGACUGCCCGGGUUAACCGGGAGGAAGGUGGGGAUGACGUCAAAUCAUCAUGCCCCUUAUGUCCAGGGCUACACACGUGCUACAAUGGUGAGUACAAUUAGAUGCAAACCCGCGAGGGGGAGCCAAACUAAAAAACUCAUCCCAGUUCGGAUUGUAGGCUGAAACUCGCCUACAUGAAGCUGGAGUUGCUAGUAAUCGCGAAUCAGAAUGUCGCGGUGAAUACGUUCCCGGGCCUUGUACACACCGCCCGUCACACCAUGAGAGCUGGCAACACCCGAAGUCCGUGAGGUAACCGUAAGGAGCCAGCGGCCGAAGGUGGGGUCAGUGAUUGGGGUGA
rnacentral:rRNA from 1 species